GUAGUGGUGGCUCAGAGGUAGAAUUCUUGCCUUCCAAAGCGGGAGACCUGGGUUCGAUUCCCAGUCAAGGCA
rnacentral:tRNA from 1 species